UAGGGAAUCUUCGGCAAUGGGGGGAACCCUGACCGAGCAACGCCGCGUGAGUGAAGAAGGUUUCCGGAUCGUAAAGCUCUGUUGUUAAGGAAGAACGAGUGUGAGAAUGGAAAGUUCAUACUGUGACGGUACUUAACCAGAAAGGGACGGCUAACUACGUGCCAGCAGCCGCGGUAAUACGUAGGUCCCGAGCGUUGUCCGGAUUUAUUGGGCGUAAAGCGAGCGCAGGCGGUUAGAUAAGUCUGAAGUUAAAGGCAGUGGCUCAACCAUUGUAGGCUUUGGAAACUGUUUAACUUGAGUGCAGAAGGGGAGAGUGGAAUUCCAUGUGUAACGGUGAAAUGCGUAGAUAUAUGGAGGAACACCGGUGGCGAAAGCGGCUCUCUGGUCUGUAACUGACGCUGAGGCUCGAAAGCGUGGGGAGCGAACAGG
rnacentral:rRNA from 1 species